AAUCCAUAGGUUAAUGAGGCGAACCGGGGGAACUGAAACAUCUAAGUACCCCGAGGAAAAGAAAUCAACCGAGAUUCCCCCAGUAGCGGCGAGCGAACGGGGAGGAGCCCAGAGCCUGAAUCAGCAUGUGUGUUAGUGGAAGCGUCUGGAAAGGCGCGCGAUACAGGGUGACAGCCCCGUACACAAAAGCGCAUGUGCUGUGAGCUCGAUGAGUAGGGCGGGACACGUGGUAUCCUGUCUGAAUAUGGGGGGACCAUCCUCCAAGGCUAAAUACUCCUGACUGACCGAUAGUGAACCAGUACCGUGAGGGAAAGGCGAAAAGAACCCCGGCGAGGGGAGUGAAAAAGAACCUGAAACCGUGUACGUACAAGCAGUGGGAGCACAGGUUUACCUGUGUGACUGCGUACCUUUUGUAUAAUGGGUCAGCGACUUAUAUUCUGUAGCAAGGUUAACCGAAUAGGGGAGCCGGAGGGAAACCGAGUCUUAAUUGGGCGUUAAGUUGCAGGGUAUAGACCCGAAACCCGGUGAUCUAGCCAUGGGCAGGUUGAAGGUUGGGUAACACUAACUGGAGGACCGAACCGACUAAUGUUGAAAAAUUAGCGGAUGACCUGUGGCUGGGGGUGAAAGGCCAAUCAAACCGGGAGAUAGCUGGUUCUCCCCGAAAGCUAUUUAGGUAGCGCCUCGUGAAUUCAUCUCCGGGGGUAGAGCACUGUUUCGGCUAGGGGGCCAUCCCGGCUUACCAACCCGAUGCAAACUGCGAAUACCGGAGAAUGUUAUCACGGGAGACACACGGCGGGUGCUAACGUCCGUCGUGAAGAGGGAAACAACCCAGACCGCCAGCUAAGGUCCCAAAGUCAUGGUUAAGUGGGAAACGAUGUGGGAAGGCCCAGACAGCCAGGAUGUUGGCUUAGAAGCAGCCAUCAUUUAAAGAAAGCGUAAUAGCUCACUGGUCGAGUCGGCCUGCGCGGAAGAUGUAACGGGGCUAAACCAUGCACCGAAGCUGCGGCAGCGACGCUGAUGCGU
rnacentral:rRNA from 1 species